UACGUAGGGUGCAAGCGUUUGUCCGGAAUUAUUGGGCGUAAAGAGCUUGUAGGCGGUUUGUCGCGUCUGCUGUGAAAUUUCGGGGCUCAACCCCGAACUUGCAGUGGGUACGGGCAGACUAGAGUGUGGUAGGGGGAGCUGGAAUUCCUGGUGUAGCGGUGAAAUGCGCAGAUAUCAGGAGGAAACACCGAUGGCGAAGGCAGGUCUCU
rnacentral:rRNA from 1 species